AGAGUUUGAUUAUGGCUCAGGAUGAACGCUGGCGGCGUGCCUAAUACAUGCAAGUCGAACGGGGAGUAUUAAUUUCGAUUUUUACUCCUAGUGGCGAACGGGUGAGUAACGCGUUGGUGACCUGCCCCGAAGAGGGGGACAACAGCUCGAAAGGGCUGCUAAUACCCCAUGUGGUCGUACAGGUUAGAGGCUGAACGACUAAAGGAGUAAUCCACUUCGGGAGGGGCCUGCGUCCCAUCAGCUAGUUGGUAAGGUAACGGCCUACCAAGGCGAAGACGGGUAGGGGGCCUGAGAGGGUGGCCCCCCACACUGGCACUGAAACACGGGCCAGACACCUACGGGUGGCAGCAGUAGGGAAUAUUGCACAAUGGGCGAAAGCCUGAUGCAGCAACGCCGCGUGCGCGAAGAAGGCCUUCGGGUUGUAAAGCGCUUUUCUGGAGGAAGAGAAAGGACGGUACUCCAGGAAUAAGGAUCGGCUAACUACGUGCCAGCAGCCGCGGUAACACGUAGGAUCCGAGCGUUAUCCGAAUUUACUGGGCGUAAAGCGCGUGUAGGCGGCCGGGUAAGUUGGACGUGAAAGCUCCUGGCUCAACUAGGAGAGGUCGUUCAAAACUGCCUGGCUAGAGGGCGACAGAGGGAGGUGGAAUUCCCGGUGUAGUGGUGAAAUGCGUAGAUAUCGGGAGGAACACCAGUGGCGAAGGCGGCCUCCUGGGUCGCCCCUGACGCUCAGACGCGAAAGCUAGGGGAGCAAACGGGAUUAGAUACCCCGGUAGUCCUAGCUGUAAACGAUGUGGACUUGGCGUUGGUGGGG
rnacentral:rRNA from 1 species